UACGGGGGGAGCAAGCGUUGUUCGGAUUUACUGGGCGUAAAGGGCGCGUAGGCGGUCACGACAAGUCAGUUGUGAAAUCUCCGGGCUUAACUCGGAACGGUCAACUGAUACUGUCGGACUAGAGUGCAGAAGGGGCAACUGGAAUUCUCGGUGUAGCGGUGAAAUGCGUAGAUAUCAAGAGGAACACCUGAGGUGAAGACGGGUUGCUGGGCCGACACUGACGCUGAUGCGCGAAAGCCAGGGGAGCAAACGGG
rnacentral:rRNA from 1 species